rnacentral:lncRNA from 1 species
GCCACCUAGGCACCCCUACUUCUUUUUUCUACUAAGAUUUGCUAAUAAUGAUUGCUGCCCUCAUGGGAUGUUCUAAGGUUCAAGCAAAGGAUGAAGUGAAGUAUUCGGAACAGUGUCUGCCCAAAGGAGGAUGGUCCUUUAAGACAGAGAGAUCUGCAAGAUCCCUAUUUAAAGAAGUUUGAGGAAUUUGGUGUCUCUCUCUAGGUGAGGAGAAAUGGAGAGAAAAGAAGGGGGGAAAAAGCAUCUAAAGGACCUGAAUUCUCCAAACAGCUCCAUGAGGAGUCUACGCAUGCAGAGAGAUCGCUGUGAGGUUUGGUACAGAGUGUUCUGUGUGCCCGGAGUCUGAUCCCGGAGCAUUUGCUUCAUUCCAUCUCCAGUGAAGCUGGCCUGCUUUGCCUCGGCCUGAGGGUAUCUUGUCUGGGAGCUCUGUCCUGAAAAGGGGCCUGGUCAAAAGCUCAGGAAAAGUCAAGUAGGGGCUCCUUGUCAGGUAACAAGGUGGACAAAAGUCCCUUGUCAAGGAGAGAGCCUCACUCGGAUGGGUGGCUCUCACAGUGCGGGUGUGCUAGAGCCCUGGGUGCCUACAGCUCUCUGCUGUAGGUUUUUGGUGAAAGCCCGGUAAAGGGUCUCAAAUUUAAGUGCCUUUGGGGACUAGGCUGGUAACCUAAAAACAUUUGAGGAUGCCAGGUGUAAGAGGAAAUAGGAAAGAAAGAGGAAACACGCUGGAGAACUUAGC